rnacentral:rRNA from 1 species
CCUACGGGAGUCUGCAGUGGGGAAUAUUGGACAAUGGGCGAAAGCCUGAUCCAGCCAUGCCGCGUGUGUGAAGAAGGCCUUCGGGUUGUAAAGCACUUUCAGUGGGGAAGAAAGCCUUGGGGCUAAUACCCUCGAGGAAGGACAUCACCCACAGAAGAAGCACCGGCUAACUCCGUGCCAGCAGCCGCGGUAAUACGGAGGGUGCGAGCGUUAAUCGGAAUUACUGGGCGUAAAGCGCGCGUAGGCGGUCUGAUAAGCCGGUUGUGAAAGCCCCGGGCUCAACCUGGGAACGGCAUCCGGAACUGUCAGGCUAGAGUGCAGCAGAGGAAGGUAGAAUUCCCGGUGUAGCGGUGAAAUGCGUAGAGAUCGGGAGGAAUACCAGUGGCGAAGGCGGCCUUCUGGACUGACACUGACGCUGAGGUGCGAAAGCGUGGGUAGCAAACAGGAUUAGAUACCCUGGUAGUC